rnacentral:lncRNA from 1 species
AUGUGCUCAGCUCUGGAAGGCCACCACAGAGCUCAGUGGAGUCUGAGCCAAAUGGACACCAGCACACCCACAUGGCACCGAGCCCUGAAUUGUGGUGGAGGAAGACACCAGGCUGGCAGUGUGGUCCCAUCAGCCAGAGCUCUGCCUGCACCCCACGCCAUGCCCAUUCCCAUCCUGUACCCAUUCCUAUCCCAUACCCAGCCCAACCUGUAUCCAUCUCCAACUCAUUUACAUCCCCACACCGUAUUCAGCCCCGUGCCAUCCCCAUCCCGUGCUGCUCCCAACAGCCCACCCCUCCCCAUCCCAUCCCCACACCAUACUAUCCUCACCUCUUCCCCACCUCGUUCCUAUCCCAUCCCCAUCCCCAGCCCAUCCCCACCCCACACCCAUCCUCAUCCUGUACCCAUCCCAUCCCUGCACCCAUCUCCACGCCAUACCCGCCUCCAAUCCAUCCCCAUCCCCACACUCAUCCUGUACCCAUCCCCACCCCGAACUCAUUACCAUCCUGUACCCAUUCCCGCCCGUCCCCGUCCUCACCCCAUACCCACCCCAUGCACAUCCCCACCCCGCACCCAUCCCCAACAUCCCCAUCCCCACGCCGUACCCAGCACAGCACUCCGCGACCCCACGGCAGUGCGGCCGGGCUCCCCGGGGGGUGCAGCCCUAUGGAACUUCUCCAGAUCCACCCCCGGAGGCCGCCGGGGUUUUGCCGGCCUCGCUCCCAGCAACGCGGCGUGCGGCAGCGGCUUCCUGCGCGGAGUUUGCCCCCGGAUCCCACCGGCAGCGGCUGCGCCUGCAGCGGGGACCGCCGGAGCGGCCGCGUCGUUGAGCAGCGGCCAUUUGUGCGAGGCUGGGUUCCUCGCGGGGGGAUGGGAGGUGGCUCCGACCCCCCUGUCGUCCGCCGCGUCCCGUCCUCCCGGCGUGGCUGCGGGGGGUUGGGAGGCGGCCCUCGGAGCGACGCCCUUCUUCAGCCGCGCCAUCCACUCCGGGCUCUGCGGAACGGGCAUCGGACGGGGGCCGGGACCCUCACUCUGGGCUUUGCUGCGCGUCGGAGGGGUUCUGCUGCCGCCCACCCUCCCGGCGAGGGGAGACCCGGGGGGCGGUUCGCCCUUAGAGCCCGGCGUGAGCGCCCGACCCGGCUCCGUCGCGAGGAAAGCUGCGGGGGGACCCCGCGCCCGUCCGUCCGCUGCGGGGGGGGGUUUCCUGCCGUCCUUCAGCUUUGCUCUCAGGUGUCGCCCCGCCGCCUCUUUCCCCUCCGGGUGUUCCUGCGGGGAUGAAGGAAAGCUCCGAUUCUGCCAUUACUGA